rnacentral:rRNA from 1 species
GAUGAACGCUGGCGGCGUGCUUAACACAUGCAAGUCGAACGAAGAAGAGUUGAAUGAGAGCUUCGGCAGGAUUUCUUCUCAUCUUAGUGGCGGACGGGUGAGUAACGUGUGGGCAACCUGCCCUGUACUGUGGAAUAAUCACUGGAAACGGUGACUAAUACCGCAUGUCAUCUUCGGAAGGCAUCUUCUGAAGAAAAAAGGAUUUAUUCGGUACAGGAUGGGCCCGCAUCUGAUUAGCUAGUUGGUGAGAUAACAGCCCACCAAGGCGACGAUCAGUAGCCGACCUGAGAGGGUGAUCGGCCACAUUGGGACUGAGACACGGCCCAA